rnacentral:rRNA from 1 species
GUCUGCAACUCGACUACAUGAAGCUGGAAUCGCUAGUAAUCGCGAAUCAGCAUGUCGCGGUGAAUACGUUCCCGGGUCUUGUACACACCGCCCGUCACACCAUGGGAGUCGGAAAUGCCCGAAGCCAGUGACCCAACCAUAAGGAGGGAGCCUGUCGAAGGUGGAGCCGGUGACUGGGGUGAAGUCGUAACAAGGUAAC